rnacentral:rRNA from 1 species
ACUUUUAACAACGGAUC